AACCGUUGUGUUUGCGUUGUGCUGAGUUAAUAUUUUUGUAAAGGUAAUUCAGUAACUCUGUCUUUGUUGUUUUCUUUGAUUUUAUUCAGCUCCUAUGCGAUGUCACGCUCCUAUUCUGCAUCUAUUGUUGAAAACCAAAACAACUAUAAAUUAAAAUGAUGAUAUCACCCUCUACUUCCUGUGUCGUAUAGAAAUGCCACGUGUGUAGCGUAAUGACAAUUCAGUGUGCCGGUGACGUGUAAUACUAAUCAGCAGAUCAUAUCCUAACCCUCCUUAACCUAUUCACGCCCUCUAUGCAGCUUAGUAGAUGAACGUUGAACAUUUUGAAUAAUCAACCAAUGAAUAAAUAUAACAAUACACCUCUGCUAGAUGAUGUUUAUACCAUUUAACAACAACAGUAAUGAGAAUAGACUUUAACACCUGUGAAAGAUUGUAAGGAGAGGGUUGUCUACAAGCUGUGAUGGUUGUUUGAUGGUCCAACUAAGUGGAGAAUCAGGCAAUUCAUCCAACCGACUUCAGAGAUUGGAACAGUACUGACAACAUGGAUUAUCCAGGACAGGAAGAUUUAAGUGUCUUGUAUAAGAGUUAUGUACGUUCAGAAACUAACUUUGAAAAAUUCUUGAGUCGAAGAAAAUCGGAGAGUUCCAUAUUCGACUUCUGUCUGUUUGGACAAAUCGUCGGCUGAGUUGAUAGGAGUC